ensembl:lncRNA
AUCAGGACGCCAUCAGGACGCCACGUCAACGGGACGCUACGUCAACGGGACGCCAUCAGGACGCCCUCAGGACGCCAUCAGGACGCCACGUCAACGGGACGCCAUCAGGACGCCCUCAGGACGCCAUCAGGACGCCACGUCAACGGGACGCCAUCAGGACGUCACGUCAACCACUCAGGAGCAAAUCCAGAUCUACGCAUGACACACACACACACACACACACACACAGAUACCAACAGGACGCCAUCAGGACGCCAUCAGGACGCCACGUCAACGGGACGCCAUCAGGACGCCGUCAGGACUCCAUCAAGACGUCAUGUCAACCCCUCAGGAGCAAAUCCAGAUCUACGCAUGACACACACACACACCCACACUCACACACACAGAUCUACUCAGAGACACAAUAUGUAGAUGUACACACAGACACACUAACAUUUGGUUCUAAACAAAGACACACACUAAUAUUUAGAUGUACACAAAGACAUAUUAAUAUUUAGAUGUACACACAGACACAUUAAUAUUUUGAUGUACACACAGACACACUAACAAUUAGUUGUACACACAGACACACUAACAAUUCGAUAUUCACACAGACACACUAACAAUUAGAUGUACACACAUACACACUAACAUUUGUUUCUAAACAAAGACACUUACUAACAUUUAGAUGUACACAAAUACACAUUAAUAUGUAGAUGUAUACACAGACACACUAACAUUUAGAUGUACACACAGACACA